rnacentral:rRNA from 1 species
GACGAACGCUGGCGGCGUGCUUAACACAUGCAAGACGCACGAGGACGGGAGCUUGCUCCCGAGCCGAGUGGCGGACGGGUGAGUAACACGUGACCAACUUGUCCUAGGGUGAGGGACAACCUGGGGAAACCCGGGCUAAUACCGCAUGAUGUCUCGAGGUCGCAUGGCCAUGAGAUCAAAGAGGGCCUCUGCUUGCAAGCUCUCGCCCUGGGAGGGGGUCGCGGCGUAUCAGCUAGUUGGUAGGGUAACGGCCUACCAAGGCUACGACGCGUAGCGGGUCUGAGAGGACGACCCGCCUCAUUGGGACUGAGAUACGGCCCAGACUCCUACGGGAGGCAGCAGUGGGGAAUAUUGCGCAAUGGACGAAAGUCUGACGCAGCGACGCCGCGUGUGGGAGGAAGCUCUUCGGGGUGUAAACCACUGUCAGGAGGGAAGAAACUCGCCGGCCCGAACAGGAACGGCGAUUGACGGUACCUCCAAAGGAAGCGACCGGCUAACUCCGUGCC